rnacentral:lncRNA from 1 species
CCUGAAGAUUCCUGAUUCAGUCAAUUUAUCGUUUGGAUGGCUGCGUGAAACACUAACUUAAAUACCUAAAUGAUACCAUCAAUACUCGAGUCUCAUACCUCAAAAAUAUUUCAGGAAGACGGGGUCCGAUUCAUUGAACUCCAUCCUUCACCUGACGACCAAUCCCAAUCAGAUCUGGACAACUGUCAUUCCCCAUACCUAGGUCGAGACGGUCGGAUCGAAAAACAAAGAAAGAUAUCGUUAAUUUUGGCAAAGUUUAGCUUUAAACCACCACAUUAUCAUAGGCAUGUUGAUAAAUUUUC